rnacentral:rRNA from 1 species
AUUGAACGCUGGCGGCAUGCUUUACACAUGCAAGUCGAACGGUAACAGGUUAAGCUGACGAGUGGCGAACGGGUGAGUAAUGCAUCGGAACGUGCCCGGUCGUGGGGGAUAACGCAGCGAAAGCUGCGCUAAUACCGCAUACGAUCUGAGGAUGAAAGCGGGGGACCGUAAGGCCUCGCGCGAUCGGAGCGGCCGAUGUCAGAUUAGGUAGUUGGUGGGGUAAAGGCUCACCAAGCCAACGAUCUGUAGCUGGUCUGAGAGGACGACCAGCCACACUGGGACUGAGACACGGCCCAGACUCCUACGGGAGGCAGCAGUGGGGAAUUUUGGACAAUGGGCGAAAGCCUGAUCCAGCAAUGCCGCGUGCAGGAAGAAGGCCUUCGGGUUGUAAACUGCUUUUGUACGGAGCGAAAAGGUCUCCUCUAAUACAGGGGGCUCAUGACGGUACCGUAAGAAUAAGCACCGGCUAACUACGUGCCAGCAGCCGCCGUAA